rnacentral:tRNA from 1 species
UUCUUAAUAAUUUAUUAAAAAUAUCUACUUUGGAUGUAGAAGAAUCUUAUAUAAGUUU